CUAACACGGACCAAGAAGUCUUGAAUGUGCGCGAGUCAAAGGGGCUGUCUAAACCCCAAGGCGAAACGAAAGUGAAUUCUUUCAUGGACUGAUCCGGUUCGUUGUGAGCGAGCCUUAGUUAGCGGGGUUGUUCGUCGCCGUCUGGUCGAUAUCCUCUUUCGCGGGGGAAGUUGAAGGCGGAUGCACGGCUUCUCUGCGCUUCGGCCGUCUCCCCUCGAUUUGCCACCUCAAUAUGUGGACGGCGCAAGUCCGGGGCCCGCAACGUUCCUCUUCGCCGUUAAGGCUCUGUCUGUCGUUUCGCGGGCACCCCCUCCCUGCCUUGAGUGUCUGCCCGGCGGUCGUUGUUCUCCUCCUAGGGUUUC
rnacentral:rRNA from 1 species